CACUCUAGAGUUUCUGUGUGUGUGUGUGUGUGUGUGUGUGUGUGUGUGUGUGUGUGUGUGUGCGCAUGUAGUAAAAGUGAUAGAGGAACAGGAGGAGCCAUGGCGGUCACAUGACUCUGUCCACUGGUCUAGUUGCACUAUACAGCGCUGUACAUUUUUGUAUUUGUGUCAUCAAAAUAACAACAUUGGCAACAUUUGUCGGCGUGUUCAUUUACCUUGUCCCCCUCAGAGUCGGCGUCCACGGAGCGAGGGCGGAGCUUGAUGGGCUGGUCUUUGAAGAUGUCGCCGAACCCGAAACCUCUGACCUGCCCAAGAAGACCAUGAGGAAGGCGGCCAUCAACAGGAAAGCAGCUCUGAUAGGCACUGGCCUGCAUGCGAACCUAUGCCACCAAGCAUCACACAUGCAUCGAGAUGAAAACAAGGAAACACAACAACAAAUAUGGGCAUGAAUGCAAGCAGAGGAAGGAAGGAAGGGGGGGACAACUAGAGAAAGUGGACAUGACGGGUCACCACAUUCACGGCGACGCUGUUUCAUAAGCCCUGGCCUGUGGCGAAGACAGCCCAAUGAAGCAGAUAAGCUCGGCGUGGUGGCAACCAGAAAGUCAACCGCCGGUCAUGUGGAGCCAUGUGAAUCUGAUUAGCUGCCAUGCUGAUGUCGUUCACACAGAUUGGUCACAUGGUCUGCAGCACCAACAAGCAAGGAAGUCACUCUACACUGCAAUCAUGUGUGUAAGAAUGCAUUUGAAUACUUCCUGUAAUAAUGUAGUGAUAUUUACUGUACAUAUAACAUAUUGACAUAUUAAUCCAUGCAGAACAGGCUGUGUUAAGACGUGAUAUCUAGAAUAACCAAUAGUUUGGUUUGGUCGAUUAAAGUCAUUAAUUGAUAUCAAGAUUAGAGUAGAUCGAGCGGCCAUCUUUCAUUAGCAUUCAUUAGUAGGGUUGGGCGUCGUUUGAAUUUGAACGAUUCCGGUUCAAAAUGAUUCUCGAUGCCGAUGCUUUUAGGAGGCAGGGUCAUAAAAGUCUACAUGGUUUAAAUGAGGGCGCAAAUCAGAGUUCUUAUUGGAUGAAAUGUCUGAACUUCUCCAUUGCUUUUUUUUUUUUUUUAAUGAUAUGAAGUUUUUAUCAACUACUAUGAAUUUCUUAUUAUUAUGAAUCUCAAACCAUUCACCUCGAAUAUAAAUGUUAUGAAGUUUCUUUUUACAAGAGUACACAGUGGUAUACUUUGUUUGCAGCCUCAAUGUUGGUGCAAGCUAUUGUUGUAUCUUCAAACGCUACGGAGCUAAUUCCAGAAGAAGACCGCCAUUACGGAAAAUGGGAUUCUUGUCAAUAACUACUGAACUAAUAUUGAUAUCAUUAUGAAUCCAAUUGCUAAUGGUAUGUUUUCAUAGUCAAGGAAUCUAAAUAUGUAGAUAAAAUAAAUGUACGACUAAUAUUUAUGGUGUAAAUCACAAUAUGGGGGCAACUAAGGCGCCUGGCGGAGGUGUGCGCUCUCCGAGUACUUUUGUAGUUUUCACUGGUUUUUGCGGCUAUUAUUUCUUCUGGUCGGCAAAGUGGGCAUCGGAACUAGGAAUCGAAAUAAAAAACAUUUGAACGGUCCCGGGAGAAUCAGACUGUUCGUCCCGGUUGUCAUCGAUGCUCGAGACUUAAUACCAAACCCCGUUCAUUAGUAGUACAUAUUUAACCAUUUAAAACGCUUUUAUUAUUUUUUUUUAUUUUAUUUGACAUAUUAUAGGGCUUAGAGUGUCAAAAAUUGGCAUUUUUAUGGGCGUGUCCAUUAUUCGCAGUGGGUCUCAUAACGUAACGUGCAUUGUACUCCAGCUAC